rnacentral:sRNA from 1 species
GAGAGGCCGCACGACGGCCGAUAGGAGCGGUCACCCGCGUGACCGACAAAGCUUAUGCAAACGGCAUUGU